ACUGAAGAAUGCAAGAAAGUUCUUAUCCAAAGGUGAUAAAGUGAAAGCCUCUGUCCGGUUCCGCGGGCGUGCUAUUACGCAUAAAGAUCUCGGCAGGGAAGUUCUUGAUCGCCUUGCAGAAGAAACGAAAGAUGUUGCGACGAUUGAAUCCAAAGCAAAAAUGGAAGGCCGCAAUAUGUUUAUGAUGCUUGCACCAAUAAACGAAAAGUAGUUUUUAACGAUACAAGGAGGAUACCAAUAUGCCAAAAAUGAAAAGCCAUAAAGGUUCACAAAAACGACUGCGCAAAACAGGUACAGG
rnacentral:misc_RNA from 1 species